UAGGGAAUCUUCCACAAUGGGCGCAAGCCUGAUGGAGCAACACCGCGUGAGUGAAGAAGGGUUUCGGCUCGUAAAGCUCUGUUGUUAAAGAAGAACACAUAUGAGAGUAACUGUUCAUUCGUUGACGGUAUUUAACCAGAAAGUCACGGCUAACUACGUGUCAG
rnacentral:rRNA from 1 species